rnacentral:misc_RNA from 1 species
AGAAAGUACAAAUAGCUACCAAGUUUGGUAUCCGUUUUGAAGAUGGAAAUAGGGGCAUUUGUGGUGAACCUGCGUAUGUAAGGGCUUGUUGUGAGGCCAGCUUGAAGAGACUUGAUAUCGACUGCAUUGAUCUCUAUUAUGUUCAUCGCAUCGAUACUCAGUUGCCAAUUGAAGUCACGGUUUGACAUCUUUGCUCCAAAUUUCUAUUUUUGCAGUGUACUUCAUCACUCUUUAAGUUUUAAGAAGUAGUUGCAUUAUAUGAUUUGCGUGUCUAAUUAGGUAAAUCCUAUUUCAUUGAUCAUAGCCUAUAGAGUCAAUUUUUU